CGGCAACAGCUCAAAUUUGAAAUCUGGCCCUCUCAGGGUCCGAGUUGUAAUUUGUAGAGGGUGCUUUGGCGUCGGCCGUGGUCUAAGUUCCUUGGAACAGGACGUCACAGAGGGUGAGAA
rnacentral:rRNA from 1 species